rnacentral:rRNA from 1 species
CAAAUGACUCUCGGCAACGGAUAUCCCGGCUCUCGCAUCGAUGAAGAACGUAGCGAAAUGCGAUACUUGGUGUGAAUUGCAGAAUCCCGUGAACCAUCGAGUCUUUGAACGCAAGUUGCGCCUGAGGCCUCGGCUAAAGGCACGUCUGCCUGGGUGUCACGU